AAGAACCUAUUGCGGCGCGCUUAUCACAUGCAGGUCGAACGAUGAAGCCCUUCGGGGUGGAUUAUGGCGAACGGGUGAGUAACACGUGGGCAAUCUGCCCUUCACUCUGGGACAAGCCCUGGAAACGGGGUCUAAUACCGGAUAACACUCUGUCCCGCAUGGGACGGGGUUGAAAGCUCCGGCGGUGAAGGAUGAGCCCGCGGUCUAUCAGCUUGUUGGUGGGGUAAUGGCCUACCAAGGCGACGACGGGUAGCCGGCCUGAGAGGGCGACCGGCCACACUGGGACUGAGACACGGCCCAGACUCCUACGGGAGGCAGCAGUGGGGAAUAUUGCACAAUGGGCGAAAGCCUGAUGCAGCGACGCCGCGUGAGGGAUGACGGCCUUCGGGUUGUAAACCUCUUUCAGCAAGGGAAGAAGCGAAAGUGACGGUCCUGCAGAAAAAACGCCGGCUAACUCCGUGCCAACAGCCCG
rnacentral:rRNA from 1 species